GCGAGUCAUUGUAGUAAUACAAGGCAGACGGCUCAGUAACGCGUACCUCACCUAACCUAUGGACGGGAAUAACCUCGGGAAACUGAGCAUUUUGCCCGAUAGAACAUUAUGCUUGGAAUGGUUUAUGUUCCAAAUGAUUUAUCGCCGUAGGAUGGGACUGCGCCCUAUCAGUUUGUUGGUGAGGUAAUGGCCCACCAAGACUAUUACAGGUACGGGCUCUGAGAGGAGUAGCCCGGAGAUGGGUACUGAGACACGGACCCAGGCCCUAUGGGGCGCAGCAGGCGAGAAAACUUUGCAAUGUGCGAAAGCACGACAAGGUUAAUCCGAGUGGUUUCUGCUAAAGGAACCUUUUGUCGGUCCUAGAAACACUGAUGAAUAAGGGGUGGGCUAGUUC
rnacentral:rRNA from 1 species